rnacentral:rRNA from 1 species
AACGAACGCUGGCGGCAUGCCUAACACAUGCAAGUCGAACGAGACCUUCGUGUCUAUUGGCGCACGGGUGCUUACCGCGUGGUAACCUGCCCUUAGGUUCCGAAUCCCUCCCCGAAAGGGGUCCUAAUACCGGUUAAUGUCUUCGGACCAAAGAUUUAUCGCCUUUUGAUGGGCCCUCGUUGGAUUAGCGAGUUGGUAGGGUAAAAGCAUACCAAGGCGACGAUCCAUAGCUGGUCGGAGAGGAUGAUCAGCUACACUGGGACUGAGACACGGCCCAGACUCCUACGGGAGGCAGCAGUGGAGAAUAUUGGACAAGGGGGGAAAGCCUGAUAAAGCAAUGCCGGGUGAGUGAGGAAGGGCUUAGGGUUGUAAAGCUGUUUUACACGGGAUGAGAAUGACAGUACCGGGAGAAUAAGCACCGGCUAACUCCGUG